AUGGAGUCCCACCUUUGCUCACUGGGGUCCAUGUCACAGGCACUGAGCUGGGACUUGGGCCUGGCGCUGACCAACCUGAGCGAGCCCUGUCACAUCUGGCUGCCUGGCUCCCCCACUAGCAGAACUAGACACCAUGGCCCAUAUUUAAGGGCCACUGGCUCCUCUGCAGUUAAAAGUGGGGGGAGUUUUUCCUCUCUGGGAGCUGAGGAACCACCUCCCGACACACGCUCCUCUCUCCCUCUCAGCCCUGCUCCUGCUGGUUUCAGACUGGAGCCUAGGAGGGCAUACCACCCUGGCCAGCCGCUGGCGGGUCCUGCUGAGGCCCAAACACAUGAGAACCUGUUGGAGCAGUUUGGGCACCAGUGUCACCUCCUCUUCCUCCUCCUCCACUUACUUCUGGGCGGGAGGGGGCCUCGGGCUUUUGAAAACUCGGCACAGGGCCAGGUCAUGGUCUUAGGCAAAGGCCAAGCUUUACCUCCCCCCACCCCAUUUUCCUCCGAGAGCAUAAGGCAAAAUCUGCAUGUUGCUGGGAGAUGCUGGCCACCACAAGCACAGAAUUCCAGACUUGAGGCAGGAAACCUGGGGCAGCUCACCUCACAGAAGCACCUUUAACAGACACUCAGCCGAG
rnacentral:lncRNA from 1 species